GAUUUACUUCGGUAAUGACGUUAGGAAAGCGAGCGGCGGAUGGGUGAGUAACACGUGGGGAACCUGCCCCAUAGUCUGGGAUACCACUUGGAAACAGGUGCUAAUACCGGAUAAGAAAGCAGAUCGCAUGAUCAGCUUUUAAAAGGCGGCGUAAGCUGUCGCUAUGGGAUGGCCCCGCGGUGCAUUAGCUAGUUGGUAAGGUAAAGGCUUACCAAGGCGAUGAUGCAUAGCCGAGUUGAGAGACUGAUCGGCCACAUUGGGACUGAGACACGGCCCAAACUCCUACGGGAGGCAGCAGUAGGGAAUCUUCCACAAUGGACGCAAGUCUGAUGGAGCGACGCCGCGUGAGUGAAGAAGGUUUUCGGAUCGUAAAGCUCUGUUGUUGGUGAAGAAGGAUAGAGGUAGUAACUGGCCUUUAUUUGACGGUAAUCAACCAGAAAGUCACGGCUAACUACGUGCCAGCAGCCGCGGUAAUACGUAGGUGGCAAGCGUUGUCCGGAUUUAUUGGGCGUAAAGCGAGCGCAGGCGGAAGAAUAAGUCUGAUGUGAAAGCCCUCGGCUUAACCGAGGAACUGCAUCGGAAACUGUUUUUCUUGAGUGCAGAAGAGGAGAGUGGAACUCCAUGUGUAGCGGUGGAAUGCGUAGAUAUAUGGAAGAACACCAGUGGCGAAGGCGGCUCUCUGGUCUGCAACUGACGCUGAGGCUCGAAAGCAUGGGUAGUGAACAGGAUUAGAUACCCUGGUAGUCCAUGCCGUANACGAUGAGUGCUAAGUGUUGGGAGGUUUCCGCCUCUCAGUGCUGCAGCUAACGCAUUAAGCACUCCGC
rnacentral:rRNA from 1 species